rnacentral:rRNA from 1 species
UGGGGAAUUUUGCGCAAUGGGGGAAACCCUGACGCAGCAACGCCGCGUGAGUGAUGAAGGCCUUCGGGUCGUAAAGCUCUGUCAGAGGGGAAGAAAUGCAGGGGUGCUAAUAUCAUCUUUGCUUGACGGUACCCUCAAAGGAAGCACCGGCUAACUCCGUGCCAGCAGCCGCGGUAAUACGGAGGGUGCGAGCGUUGUUCGGAAUUAUUGGGCGUAAAGCGCGUGUAGGCGGUUUGGUAAGUCUGAUGUGAAAGCCCCGGGCUCAACCUGGGAAGUGCAUUGGAAAGUGUCAGACUUGAAGAAGGGAGAGGGUAGGGGAAUUCCGAGUGUGGGAGUGAAAUCCGUAGAUAUUAGGAGGAACACCGGUGGCGAAGGCGGCUACCUGGACCGAUAUUGACGCUGAGACGCGAAGGCGUGGGGAGCAAACA